UACGGAGGAUGCAAGCGUUAUCCGGAAUGAUUGGGCGUAAAGCGUCCGCAGGUGGUUUUGUAUGUCUGCUGUUAAAGCGUGCAGCUUAACUGCAUAAGGGCGGUAGAAACUACAAGACUAGAGUACGUUCGGGGCAGAGGGAAUUCCCAGUGUAGCGGUGAAAUGCGUAGAGAUUGGGAAGAACAUCGGUGGCGAAAGCGCUCUGCUAGGCCUGUACUGACACUGAGGGACGAAAGCUAGGGGAGCGAAUGGG
rnacentral:rRNA from 1 species